UUCAAGUCUUUAAGAGCAAACGGUGGAUGCCUUGGCAUCUGGAGCCGAAGAAGGACGUAGCAAUCUGCGAUAAGCCUCGGGGAGUGGAUAAGCACACUUUGAUCCGAGGAUCUCCGAAUGGGGAAACCCCGCUGGGCGGCGUGCCGACCCAGUGACUCCCGCCUGAAUAUAUAGGGCGGGUAGAGGGAACGUGGGGAAGUGAAACAUCUCAGUACCCACAGGAAGAGAAAGCAACCGCGAUUCCGUUAGUAGUGGCGAGCGAAACCGGAACAGGCUAAACCGAGUACGUGUGAUAUCCGGCAGGAGUUGCGUAUUCGGGGUUGUGGGACUUUUCGUGUUGUUCUGCCGAACAGCAAGCGUUACAAGAAGGUAUAGACGAAUGGCAUUGAAAGGCCAGUCAUAGAGGGUGCCAACCCCGUAGUCGAAAUGCCUCCCUUGGCGCGAGAAGUAUCCCAAGUAGCACGGGGCCCGAGAAAUCCCGUGUGAAUCUGUCAGGACCACCUGAUAAGCCUAAAUACUCCCAGAUGACCGAUAGCGGACAAGUACCGUGAGGGAAAGGUGAAAAGUACCCCGGGAGGGGAGUGAAAUAGUACCUGAAACCGUUUGCUUACAAACCGUUGGAGCAGCCCUAGCAGCUGUGACAGCGUGCCUUUUGAAGAAUGAGCCUGCGAGUUAGCGAUAUGUGGCGAGGUUAACCCGUGUGGGGUAGCCGUAGCGAAAGCGAGUCUGAAUAGGGCGAUUCAGUCGCAUGUCCUAGACCCGAAGCGAAGUGAUCUAUCCAUGGCCAGGCUGAAGCGACGGUAAGACGUCGUGGAGGGCCGAACCCACUUAGGUUGAAAACUGAGGGGAUGAGCUGUGGAUAGGGGUGAAAGGCCAAUCAAACUUCGUGAUAGCUGGUUCUCUCCGAAAUGCAUUUAGGUGCAGCGUUGCGUGUUUCUUGCCGGAGGUAGAGCUACUGGAUGGCCGAUGGGCCCUACAAGGUUACUGACGUCAGCCAAACUCCGAAUGCCGGUAAGUGAGAGCGCAGCAGUGAGACUGUGGGGGAUAAGCUUCAUAGUCGAGAGGGAAACAACCCAGACCACCAACUAAGGUCCCUAAGCGCGUGCUAAGUGGGAAAGGAUGUGGAGUUGCUCAGACAACCAGGAGGUUGGCUUAGAAGCAGCCACCCUUGAAAGAGUGCGUAAUAGCUCACUGGUCAAGUGAUUCCGCGCCGACAAUGUAACGGGGCUCAAGCACGCCACCGAAGUUGUGGCAUUGACAUUAUUGGUAGGCCUUCGUGGUCCAGCCGUGUUGAUGGGUAGGAGAGCGUCGUGUGGCCAGCGAAGCGGCGGUGUGAACCAGCCGUGGAGGCUACACGAGUGAGAAUGCAGGCAUGAGUAGCGAAAGACGUGUGAGAAACACGUCCUCCGAAAGACCAAGGGUUCCAGGGUCAAGCUAAUCUUCCCUGGGUAAGUCGGGACCUAAGGCGAGGCCGACAGGCGUAGUCGAUGGACAACGGGUUGAUAUUCCCGUACCGGCGAAGAACCGCCCCAAUCAAUCCAGUGGUGCUAAGUGCCCGAAUCCCUUUGUACGAUCCCUUCGGGGUGAGGCAUUGGGCCUAGCGCACGACCCCAUGCUGGUGCGGUUAGCGUAUUAACAGGUGUGACGCAGGAAGGUAGCCCAAGCCAGGCGAUGGUUGUCCUGGUGCAAGUGCGUAGGCCGAGUGAUAGGCAAAUCCGUCACUCAUAUGGCUGAGACACGAUGCGGAUAAAAAGUGGGUGAUCCUAUGCUGCCGAGAAAAGCAUCGACGCGAGGUUCUAGCCGCCCGUACCCCAAACCGACUCAGGUGGUCAGGUAGAGAAUACCAAGGAGAUCGAGAGAAUCGUGGUUAAGGAACUCGGCAAAAUGCCCCCGUAACUUCGGGAGAAGGGGGGCCUUCGACGUAUUAGGACUUGCUCCGAAAGCGUUUGGAGGCCGCAGAGACUAGUGGGUAGCGACUGUUUACUAAAAACACAGGUCCGUGCCAAGUCGCAAGACGAUGUAUACGGACUGACGCCUGCCCGGUGCUGGAAGGUUAAGAGGACGGGUUAGCGCAAGCGAAGCUCAGAAUUUAAGCCCCAGUAAACGGCGGUGGUAACUAUAACCAUCCUAAGGUAGCGAAAUUCCUUGUCGGGUAAGUUCCGACCUGCACGAAUGGCGUAACG
rnacentral:rRNA from 1 species